GCCAGGCGUGGUGGCGCAUGCCUGUAAUCCCAGCUACUCGGGAGGCUGAGGCAGGAGGAUUGCUUGAACCCAGGAGACGGAGGUUGCAGUGAGCCAAGAUGGUGCCAUUGUACUGCAGCCUGGGCAACAAGAGCAAAGCCCUGUCUCAAAAAAAAAAAAAAAAAAAAAAGAGAGAGAGAGAGAGAGAGGGUCUUGCUCUGUCACCCAGGCUGGAGUGCAGUGAUGCAAUCAUAGUUCACUGAAGCCUCCAACUCCUGGGCUCAAGAGAUCCUCCUGCCUCA
rnacentral:sRNA from 1 species